CAGCCGCCACGGGAAUACGUAGGGUGCGAGCGUUAAUCGGAAUUACUGGGCGUAAAGCGUGCGCAGGCGGUUCGUUAAGACAGAUGUGAAAUCCCCGGGCUUAACCUGGGAACUGCAUUUGUGACUGGCGAGCUAGAGUAUGGCAGAGGGGGGUAGAAUUCCACGUGUAGCAGUGAAAUGCGUAGAGAUGUGGAGGAAUACCGAUGGCGAAGGCAGCCCCCUGGGCCAAUACUGACGCUCAUGCACGAAAGCGUGGGGAGCAAACAGGAUUAGAUACCCCGGUAGUCCCUGUCUCUUAUAC
rnacentral:rRNA from 1 species